GGGGGCGAGGCCGCGAAACAGCAACGAAACCCCGGCGCAUACCGCGCCAAGGAAAACGAACGGACGCGGACCCGGCGCGCCCCGUCCGCGGGCAGCGCGCCGGGCCGGCUUCGGAAAGUCGAAACUUAACGACUCUCGGCAACGGAUAUCUCGGCUCUCGCAUCGAUGAAGAACGUAGCGAAAUGCGAUACUUGGUGUGAAUUGCAGAAUCCCGUGAACCAUCGAGUCUUUGAACGCAAGUUGCGCCCGAAGCCAUUAGGCCGAGGGCACGUCUGCCUGGGCGUCACGCAACGCGUCGUCCCCUCCUCAUCCGUCAGCGGUGCGUUGGGGGCGGAGGAUGGCCCCCCGCGUCCCUCCGGGAACGCGGCCGGCCGAAAUUCGGAAUCGCCCCGACGGCGGGUCGUCGCGACAGGUGGUGGCGU
rnacentral:rRNA from 1 species